rnacentral:rRNA from 1 species
GACGUAGGGGGCUAGCGUUGUCCGGAAUCAUUGGGCGUAAAGCGCGUGUAGGCGGUCCGGUAAGUCCGCUGUGAAAGUCGGGGGCUCAACCCUCGGAUGCCGGUGGAUACUGUCGGGCUUGAGUACGGAAGAGGCGAGUGGAAUUCCUGGUGUAGCGGUGAAAUGCGCAGAUAUCAGGAGGAACACCAAUUGCGAAGGCAGCUCGCUGGGACGUUACUGACGCUGAGACGCGAAAGCGUGGGGAGCAAACAGG